UACGUAGGGUGCAAGCGUUAAUCGGAAUUACUGGGCGUAAAGCGUGCGCAGGCGGUUAUGCAAGACAGAUGUGAAAUCCCCGGGCUUAACCUGGGAACUGCAUUUGUGACUGCAUAGCUAGAGUACGGUAGAGGGGGAUGGAAAUUCCGCGUGUAGCAGUGAAAUGCGUAGAUAUGCGGAGGAACACCGAUGGCGAAGGCAAUCCCCUGGGCCUGCACUGACGCUCAUGCACGAAAGCGUGGGGAGCAAACAG
rnacentral:rRNA from 1 species